rnacentral:rRNA from 1 species
UACGUAGGUGGCGAGCGUUGUCCGGAUUUACUGGGCGUAAAGCGCGCGCAGGCGGUUCUGUAAGUCCUGGGUGAAAUCGCCCGGCUCAACUGGGCGGGGGCCUGGGGGACUGCGGGACUGGAGGGGCCUAGAGGCCGGUGGAACUCCCGGUGUAGUGGUGAAAUGCGUAGAUAUCGUUUGGAACGCCAAUGGUGAAAACAACUUGCUGGGGGUGUGCUGACGCUGAGACACGAAAGCCAGGGGAGCAAACGGG